rnacentral:lncRNA from 1 species
AAAUGUAACUCGUUGUUUAUCUUCAAAAGAGUUUGAUCGUUUGAUCAACUCCAAGUGAUUCUUUGUGGAUUUCUACUUAAUGGUCUGAAGAAGUAACUUUGCUUUCCAAUAAGGGUUUUUUCUUAUUGCUUCCAAACUUGUGCUAACAUUCAUUUUCUUUUACAGAAAAUUUUGAGAAGAGGAGGCAUCCUACCCUCGGCAUGGCUUCUAUUCUCGCUACCACCUUCACUACUGGGAAGAAGGGAUUGAAGCCUUCAUCUGUUGUAGCAAAACAGGUGAGGGACUAAGUAGAGAGGAUCAGCAAGGAGGAUACUGAUCACGAGGAAGAAAGACGACCUCCUGUCAAAGACAUGGGAAAAAAUAAAGUGGAGGAAGUCCCAAGAAAAAUUACAAGUACUCCUCUAUUGAUGAGAGUGGGUUAAUAGUCAGCUUCCAUUGCCGUGUUCAAGGGGGAACUGAAGAGGACAAUUGUCGUGGAGUCCCCAUGGCAGGAAUCUUCGAAGAGGGCAGGACUUUAAGUGAGUUGACUGCUUAUGAUGCAACUCAUCGCCCUAAGCUCUUCAUCUCCAAACGGAUUGAUGAACUGGCUCCAAAGGUUUUGUCAAUGUUUCCUUCAGAGGUCCAAACUGCAACCUUCACUUUCCACAAGUUCUGGAAGGAUUGGUGUUAGACCUUCGUAGAGACUAGCGAUAUGGUGGAUAUUUUUACCACUAUAGUGAGCCAAAUGGAGAGGGCCUAAGGUAUUUACCAUAUAGGCUGAAGACCCUCUUUAAAAACCUUCAAAAUAAAAGUAAGGAGUUUGUAGGCAGGACCUCUCAAGCCAAGAAGAGAGCCAAAAAGACCAAGGUUCAUACUGAUGCCAUAAAAAAGUAGCAGGUCGAAGAGUUUGUGAAACUCACCUCUGCCUUAGCAGAUAUUGAAAGUUUGAAAAAGGAAGUCAACUUGUCCCAAAGUAAAGUGGCUUCUCCGACCAAACGAGUGGAGACUUCUGACACCCAUCAGAAAUUGGCUACUGAGGCCUUGGAGAGGUUAAAUAAAAAAAUGUUGCACUAAAAUAGCAAGUGGGAGAGUUCAACUCCAAAAUAUCCGAUCUGACGAAAGUGCCAGAUGGCAAGGAA